rnacentral:rRNA from 1 species
ACGAACGCUGGCGGCGUGCUUAACACAUGCAAGUCGAACGAAAAGACGGAAAGAGCUUGCUCUUUCCGGAAUUGAGUGGCAAACGGGUGAGUAACACGUAAACAACCUGCCUUCGGGAUGGGGACAACAGACGGAAACGACUGCUAAUACCGCAUACGAUUGAAAGAUCAAAGCAGCAAUGCGCUAGGAGAUGGGCUCGCGGCCUAUUAGUUAGUUGGUGAGGUAACGGCUCACCAAGGCGAUGACGGGUAGCCGGUCUGAGAGGAUGUCCGGCCACACUGGAACUGAGACACGGUCCAGACACCUACGGGUGGCAGCAGUCGAGAAUCAUUCACAAUGGGGGCAACCCUGAUGGUGCGACGCCGCGUGGGGGAAUGAAGGUCUUCGGAUUGUAAACCCCUGUCAUGUGGGAGCAAAUUAAAAAGAUAGUACCACAAGAGGAAGAGACGGCUAACUCUGUGCCAGCAGCCGCGGUAAUACAGAGGUCUCAAGCGUUGUUCGGAAUCACUGGGCGUAAAGCGUGCGUAGGCUGUUUCGUAAGUCGUGUGUGAAAGGCAGGGGCUCAACCCCUGGAUUGCACAUGAUACUGCGAGACUAGAGUAAUGGAGGGGGAACCGGAAUUCUCGGUGUAGCAGUGAAAUGCGUAGAUAUCGAGAGGAACACUCGUGGCGAAAGCGGGUUCCUGGACAUUAACUGACGCUGAGGCACGAAGGCCAGGGGAGCG